rnacentral:tRNA from 1 species
GCCGAGGUGGGGUAGUUUGGUUAUCCUGCGGGUCUGUGGAACCCGCGACCCGGGUUCAAAUCCCGGCCUCGGCC